GAAUUAAUGUGAACUGCAUACUGCUUUGAACAUCGACAUCUUGAACGCAUAUUGCGGCCAUGGGUUAGCCUGUGGCCACGCCUGUCCGAGGGUCGGCU
rnacentral:rRNA from 1 species